UGGGGAAUAUUGGACAAUGGGCGCAAGCCUGAUCCAGCCAUGCCGCGUGAGUGAAGAAGGCCUUAGGGUUGUAAAGCUCUUUCGACGGGGAAGAUGAUGACGGUACCCGUAGAAGAAGCCCCGGCUAACUCCGUGCCAGCAGCCGCGGUAAUACGGAGGGGGCAAGCGUUGUUCGGAAUUACUGGGCGUAAAGGGCGUGUAGGCGGAAUAUCAAGUUAGGGGUGAAAGGCCUGGGCUCAACCUGGGAACUGCCUCUAAAACUGGUAAUCUAGAGUUCGGGAGAGGAUAGCGGAAUUCCUAGUGUAGAGGUGAAAUUCGUAGAUAUUAGGAAGAACACCAGUGGCGAAGGCGGCUAUCUGGCCCGAUACUGACGCUGAGGCGCGAAAGCGUGGGGAGCAAACAGGAUUAGAUACCCCCGUAGUCC
rnacentral:rRNA from 1 species